UACGGAGGGGGCUAGCGUUGUUCGGAAUUACUGGGCGUAAAGCGCACGUAGGCGGCUUUGUAAGUUAGAGGUGAAAGCCCAGGGCUUAACCCUGGAAUUGCCUUUAAGACUGCAUCGCUAGAAUCGUGGAGAGGUAAGUGGGAUUCCGAGUGUAGAGGUGAAAUUCGUAGAUAUUCGGAAGAACACCAGUGGCGAAGGCGACUUACUGGACAGGUAUUGACGCUGAGGUGCGAAAGCGUGGGGAGCAAACAGG
rnacentral:rRNA from 1 species